rnacentral:rRNA from 1 species
AUGGCCGGCGAAGACAAGCUGAAGCUGUUGGGUACGUGGGCGAGCCCCUGGGCUUCCAGGGUGAAACUCGCGCUCCACCUCAAAGGCUUGAGCUAUGAGAACGUCGAGCAGGACCUUCACCACAAGAGCGACCUCCUCCUCACAUCCAACCCGGUGCACAAGAAGGUGCCCGUGCUCAUCCACAACGGCAAGCCAAUCUUGCUCCUGCCCGUUGACCCCUAUGAGCGUGCCAUUGCUCGGUUCUGGGUAGACUACAUUGACAGCAAGCUGGUCAUCCCGUGGAAAGUGGCCUUCACAGCCAACAGAGAGGAGGAGAAAACUGAAGGGAUAAAGCAGAUGCUGGCGGGGGUGAAGACGCUAGAGGGUGCUCUGAAGGAAUGCCCCAACGGGAAGCCCUUUUUCGGUGGUGAUAGCGUUGGAUACGUGGACAUUGCACUGGGCGGUCUCUUGGCAUUUUUGCAGGGGACUGAAGAGCUAUGUGGUACCAAGCUCUUUGACAUCACCGACACCCCACUUCUGAUAGCGUGGGUGCAGAGCUUCAUCGCGCUGGACGCUGCAAAGGCGGCGCUGCCGGACGUCGACAAGUUGGUUGAGUUCGCAAAGAUUAGGCGGGCCCAAAUUGCUGCUUCUAUCAAGAACUGA